UACGGGGGGAGCAAGCGUUGUUCGGAUUUACUGGGCGUAAAGGGCGCGUAGGCGGCCAGCACAAGUCAGUUGUGAAAUCUCCGAGCUUAACUCGGAAAGGUCAACUGAUACUGUGCGGCUAGAGUGCGGAAGGGGCAACUGGAAUUCUCGGUGUAGCGGUGAAAUGCGUAGAUAUCGAGAGGAACACCUGCGGCGAAGGCGGGUUGCUGGGCUGAUACUGACGCUGAGGCGCGAAAGCGUGGGGAGCAAACAGG
rnacentral:rRNA from 1 species